UACGUAGGGGGCAAGCGUUGUCCGGAAUCAUUGGGCGUAAAGCGCGUGUAGGCGGUCCGGUAAGUCCGCUGUGAAAGUCGAGGGCUCAACCCUCGAAUGCCGGUGGAUACUGUCGGGCUUGAGUACGGGAGAGGCGAGUGGAAUUCCUGGUGUAGCGGUGAAAUGCGCAGAUAUCAGGAAGAACACCCGUGGCGAAGGCGGCUCUCUGGGACGGUACUGACGCUGAGACGCGAAAGCGUGGGGAGCGAACAGG
rnacentral:rRNA from 1 species